rnacentral:rRNA from 1 species
GUGCCAGCCGCCGCGGUAAUACGUAGGGUGCGAGCGUUGUCCGGAUUCACUGGGUGUAAAGGGAGCGCAGGCGGAUUGGCAAGUCAUUGGUGAAACUCUCAGGCUCAACUUGAGAACGUACAAUGAUACUGCCGAUCUUGAGUGCGGAAGAGGAAGACGGAAUUCCUGGUGUAGCGGUGAAAUGCGUAGAUAUCAGGAAGAACACCGGUGGCGAAGGCGGUCUUCUGGUCCGCUACUGACGCUCAUGCUCGAAAGCGUGGGGAGCAAACAGGAUUAGAAACCCCUGUAGUCC